ensembl:lncRNA
UGCAAAGAGGAUGGAGCCAGGCUCUCUUCAGUGGUGCCCAGUGUCAGGACAGGAGGAACAGGAGGUUCGCACAGAACAUCAGAAGGCAAUUCUGUGCUGUGAAGGUGAUGGAGCACUGCCACAGGUUGCUCAGAGAGGUGAUGGAGUCUCCUUGGAGAACUUCAAAAGCAGCCUGGAUACGGGCUUGGGCACCCUGCUUUAGCUGUUCCUGCUGGAGCAGGAUUGGGCCAGAUGGACCCAGAUGUCCCCACUGAACUCAGCCAUUCUGUGUGUCCAAUUCUGUAGUUUUCCUGCUUAAGCACAGCAUAAAUUAUACAGCAUUGGCCAAGUGUCCUUACUAAUUUCACUCUGCAAGCAAUCAUAAAACAUUUAGGUCUAAUAUGAAAUAUUCAAGUUCUUCUCUGAUUGUUUUUGAAUCCUUUAUGUAUAAUUCAGAGAAUUCACUACCACAGCAAUUAUUAACCAUGGAUAUAUUGGAUUACAAGAAAGCUGAAGAAGAGAGAGAAGGAUAUUGAAAACUGAAGGAGUUACCAAAACUAAAACAAAAACUUGUGAAUGAAGAAGUUUCCUUGGGUACUGAAAGCAAGAAUUAGUCCCUGGCUUUAAGGCCAGGAAGGACCUUGCUGAUUUUCGGAUAUAUGCUGUUACUGUAAAGCUUUGGGAAUUACUUAUUGGGGAUGGAAGUGUUUCAUUUUGGACAAAACCCAACAUUUGAAAAUGUUAUGGGUUUUUUUUCCUGCAGAAAAAAAAAAGAAAACCGGGAAUGGAAAGGAAACUAGCAGUGCAGAGGCAGGUAUUUAAAACGUCUGGGUAAAUUUAAGACUAAAUACAUAACAUACAU